rnacentral:tRNA from 1 species
UCCCUGGUGGUCCAGUGGUUAAGACUCUGAACUUCCAAUGCAGGGGGCCAGGUUCAAACCCUGUUCAGGGAA